CGCCCCGUGAAGAGUCGCCUGCUGUGGCGGCCUGUUUAGUCUCUUUGAGAUUGAACUAGCGGGGCGGGUUUUU
rnacentral:sRNA from 12 species